GAUAUACACACACAGGUACAAACACUGACAACAUACAGAAAAACAGAUACAUACAAUGAUAACAUACAUAUACACAUACUGACACACAUACAGACACGCAGAUACACACCCUGACACACAUGCAGAUACGCAUACACACAUAAACAAACACUGACAGACAUGCAGAUACAAAUACACACAGCAACACACAUUAAAAUACACACAAUGACACACAUGCAGAUACACAUAUACACACAAACUUCAUAGAGAAACAUAGAUACACAGACUGAAUUCAGAUGCACAUAUAUACACACUGACACACACACAGAUACACAUCC